GACGAACGCUGGCGGCGUGCCUAAUACAUGCAAGUAGAACGCUGAAGGAGGAGCUUGCUUCUCUGGAUGAGUUGCGAACGGGUGAGUAACGCGUAGGUAACCUGCCUGGUAGCGGGGGAUAACUAUUGGAAACGAUAGCUAAUACCGCAUAAGAGUAGAUGUUGCAUGACAUUUGCUUAAAAGGUGCAAUUGCAUCACUACCAGAUGGACCUGCGUUGUAUUAGCUAGUUGGUGGGGUAACGGCCCACAAAGGCGACGAUACAGAGCCGACCUGAGAGGGGGGUCGGCCAAACUGGGACUGAGACACGGCCCAGACUCCUACGGGAGGCAGCAGUAGGGAAUCUUCGGCAAUGGACGGAAGUCUGACCGAGCAACGCCGCGUGAGUGAAGAAUGUUUUCGGAUCGUAAAGCUCUGUUGUAAGAGAAGAACGAGUGUGAGAGUGGAAAGUUCACACUGUGACGGUAUCUUACCAGAAAGGGACGGCUAACUACGUG
rnacentral:rRNA from 1 species